UACGGGAGGUGCAAGCGUUGUUCGGAAUUACUGGGCGUAAAGGGCUCGUAGGUGGCCAAGUAAGUCAGGCGUGAAAUCCCUCGGCUUAACUGGGGAACUGCGUCUGAUACUGGCGAGCUUGAGUGCAGGAGAGGAACGCGGAAUUCCAGGUGUAGCGGUGAAAUGCGUAGAUAUCUGGAGGAACACCGGUGGCGAAGGCGGCGUUCUGGACUGCAACUGACACUGAGAAACGAAAGCCAGGGUAGCAAACGGG
rnacentral:rRNA from 1 species